CAUAUCAAUGAUAAACUAGCACAUAGUUUAAAUUAGACUACAGCUACGCAGAAUAAUCCAAGGAACAAAAACAGUAAACAUGUUUGGAUUUAUCAAAUUACACGAGAAAUAGUGGUCUAUAGAAUAUCAGCUCAUUCAAAAUACAUCGAUAGCUUUAUGGAGUAAGUUCAAGAGCAAUUGACACGGCCAUUGUCAUGGUGAAAUAAUGGUUAAAGUUAAUCAACGAUGACAAUCUGAUACUGCGCUAUCGGGAUGAACCGAUGUAUCUUACCACUAACAAGCGACCGACACACACAUGAAUGUUCGGUUUAUGUAUGAUAGAACAUGGUACUGGUGAACCAACUAUUACGUAUAAGAAGGAAAGAAAAGACGACAAAGGGGAAGAUCUCUCAAGAUUAAAUUUAUUUCAAGCACUUUUUGUGUUUGCCCUAAUACGACUUGAGUUCGUAUUUUUAAUAUUAAUACACAGCUAGCCGAAAGGAAAAAAAUGAGCUUAAUAUUAAAACAAAAUUAAAACCGAGCUAAAGAAAAAAGUCAGUAACAUCCGCUGAAACGU
rnacentral:misc_RNA from 1 species